GCGAGAUGAAGCUCGAGUGGCCCAUGCUCACAUCUACCGAGCCCUGCGACGAGUUGCGCCCGAUGGUCACCGAACGCUUCUUCAUGAGGUACUCGAACUCGCGGCCUUCGAGCCGCGCCACGGCCCAGCCGCCCGGCGGGGAUCCGCCGCCCCCGGCCCCGCCGCCCGCGGGAGGGGCGCCCGCGCCCGAGAGCGCCGCCGCGGCCGCCAUCGCCUGCGAGGCCUGGCCGAUCCGCGCGGGCGCCCUAGCGGGCCGAGGCCCGGGCGCGGUCGUGGGCCGCGCGAGCGGAGCACGGUCGCGGAGACCGCCGGCCGGCGAGGAGAGCUG
rnacentral:lncRNA from 1 species